rnacentral:rRNA from 1 species
UACGUAGGGUGCAAGCGUUGUCCGGAAUUAUUGGGCGUAAAGAGCUCGUAGGUGGUUUGUCGCGUCUGUCGUGAAAGCCCGGGGCUUAACUCCGGGUCUGCGGUGGAUACGGGCAGACUAGAGGCAGGUAGGGGAGAACGGAAUUCCCGGUGUAGCGGUGAAAUGCGCAGAUAUCAGGAGGAACACCGGUGGCGAAGGCGGGUCUCUGGGCAAUAACUGACGCUGAGGAGCGAAAGCGUGGGGAGCGAACAGG